GAUGAACGCUGGCGGCGUGCCUAAUACAUGCAAGUCGAGCGAACGGACGAGAAGCUGGCUUCUCUGAUGUUAUCGGCGGACGGGAGAGUAACACGUGGAUAAACUACCUAUAAGACUGGGAUAACUACGGGAAACCGUAGCUAAUACCGGAUAAUAUAUUGAACCGCAUGGGUCAAAAGUGAAAGUCGGUCUUGCUGUCACUUAUAGACGGAUCCGCGUUGCAUGAGUUAGUUGGUAGGGUAACGGCUUACCCAGGCAACGAGGCAUAGCCGACCUGAAAGGGUGAUCCGACACACGGGAACUGAGAAACGGUCCAGACUCCUACGGGAGGCAGCAGUAGGGAAUCUUCCGCAAGGGGCGAAAGCCGGACGGGGCAACGCCGCGUGAGUGAUGAAGGUCUUCGGAUGGGAAAGCUCUGUUAUUAGGGAAGAACAUAUGUGUAAUUAACUGUGCACAUCUUGACGGUACCUAAAGAAAAAGCCACGGCUAACUACGUG
rnacentral:rRNA from 1 species